rnacentral:rRNA from 1 species
CGCUGGCGGCGUGCCUAAUACAUGCAAGUCGAACGGUCUUUCUAUGGAAGCUUGCUUCCACUGAGAAGAUAGUGGCGAACGGGUGAGUAACACGUGGGUAACCUGCCCAUAAGAGGGGGGAUAACAUCCGGAAACGGGUGCUAAUACCGCAUAGUUUUCUUGAUCGCAUGAUCGGGAAAGGAAAGACGGCCUUUGUGCUGUCGCUUAUGGAUGGACCCGCGGCGUAUUAGUUAGUUGGUGAGGUAACGGCUCACCAAGACGAUGAUACGUAGCCGACCUGAGAGGGUGAUCGGCCACAUUGGGACUGAGACACGGCCCAAACUCCUACGGGAGGCAGCAGUAGGGAAUCUUCCGCAAUGGACGAAAGUCUGACGGAGCAACGCCGCGUGAGUGAAAGAAGGUUUUCGGAUCGUAAAACUCUGUUGUCAGAGAAGAACAAGUUGGAGAGUAACUGCUCCAGCCUUGACGGUAUCUGACCAGAAAGCCACGGCUAACUACGUGCCAGCCGCCGC